rnacentral:rRNA from 1 species
UACGGAGGAGCCAAGCGUUGUCCGGAUUUAUUGGGUUUAAAGGGUGCGUAGGUGGCUUUUAAGUCGAGGGUGAAAGACGGUAGCUUGACUAUCGCAGUGCCUUUGAUACUGAAGAGCUUGAAUGAACUAGAGGUAGGCGGAAUGUGACAAGUAGCGGUGAAAUGCAUAGAUAUGUCACAGAACACCAAUUGCGAAGGCAGCUUACUAUGGUUUUAUUGACACUGAGGCACGAAAGCGUGGGGAUCAAACAGG